rnacentral:rRNA from 1 species
UUUGCGUCGAAGGUAUACCGGUAAGGAGUGCUGGAGCGAAUAGAAGUGAGCAUGCAGGCAUGAGUAGCGAUAAUUAAUGUGAGAAUCAUUAACGCCGUAAACCCAAGGUUUCCUACGCGAUGCUCGUCAUCGUAGGGUUAGUCGGGUCCUAAGUCGAGUCCGAAAGGGGUAGACGAUGGCAAAUUGGUUAAUAUUCCAAUACCAACAUUAGUGUGCGAUGGAAGGACGCUUAGGGCUAAGGGGGCUAGCGGAUGGAAGUGCUAGUCUAAGGUCGUAGGAGGUUAUACAGGCAAAUCCGUAUAACAAUACUCCGAGAACUGAAAGGCUUUUUGAAGUCUUCGGAUGGAUAGAAGAACCCCUGAUGCCGUCGAGCCAAGAAAAGUUUCUAAGUUUAGCUAAUGUUGCCCGUACCGUAAACCGACACAGGUGGGUGGGAUGAGUAUUCUAAGGCGCGUGGAAGAACUCUCUUUAAGGAACUCUGCAAAAUAGCACCGUAUCUUCGGUAUAAGGUGUGGUUCGCUUCGUAUUAGGAUUUACUCCGAAAGCGAAGAAACUUACAACAAAGAGUCCCUCCCGACUGUUUACCAAAAACACAGCACUCUGCUAACUCGUAAGAGGAUGUAUAGGGUGUGACGCCUGCCCGGUGCUCGAAGGUUAAUUGAUGGGGUUAGCAUUAGCGAAGCUCUUGAUCGAAGCCCGAGUAAACGGCGGCCGUAACUAUAACGGUCCUAAGGUAGCGAAAUUCCUUGUCGGUUAAAUACCGACCUGCAUGAAUGGCGUAACGAGAUGGGAGCUGUCUCAAAGAGGGAUCCAGUGAAAUUGUAGUGGAGGUGAAAAUUCCUCCUACCCGCGGCAAGACGGAAAGACCCCGUGGACCUUUACUACAGCUUGACACUGCUACUUGGAUAAGAAUGUGCAGGAUAGGUGGGAGGCUUUGAGUAUAUGACGCCAGUUGUAUAUGAGCCAUUGUUGAGAUACCACUCUUUCUUAUUUGGGUAGCUAACCAGCUUGAGUUAUCCUCAAGUGGGACAAUGUCUGGUGGGUAGUUUGACUGGGGCGGUCGCCUCCCAAAUAAUAACGGAGGCUUACAAAGGUUGGCUCAGAACGGUUGGAAAUCGUUCGUAGAGUAUAAAGGUAUAAGCCAGCUUAACUGCAAGACAUACAAGUCAAGCAGAGACGAAAGUCGGUCUUAGUGAUCCGGUGGUUCUGUGUGGAAGGGCCAUCGCUCAAAGGAUAAAAGGUACCCCGGGGAUAACAGGCUGAUCUCCCCCAAGAGCUCACAUCGACGGGGAGGUUUGGCACCUCGAUGUCGGCUCAUCGCAUCCUGGGGCUGGAGCAGGUCCCAAGGGUAUGGCUGUUCGCCAUUUAAAGCGGUACGCGAGCUGGGUUCAGAACGUCGUGAGACAGUUCGGUCCCUAUCUGCCGUGGGCGUAAGAAGAUUGAAGAGAUUUGACCCUAGUACGAGAGGACCGGGUUGAACAAACCACUGGUGUAGCUGUUGUUCUGCCAAGAGCAUCGCAGCGUAGCUAAGUUUGGAAAGGAUAAACGCUGAAAGCAUCUAAGCGUGAAGCCAACUCUAAGAUGAAUCUUCUCUAAGCUCUCUAGAAGACUACUAGUUUGAUAGGCUGGGUGUGUAAUGGAUGAAAGUCCUUUAGCUGACCAGUACUAAUAGAGCGUUUGGCUUAUCUUU